AUUGAACGCUGGCGGAAUGCUUUACACAUGCAAGUCGAACGGCAGCACGGGGGCAGCCCUGGUGGCGAGUGGCGAACGGGUGAGUAAUACAUCGGAACGUGCCCGGUCGUGGGGGAUAACGUAGCGAAAGUUACGCCAAUACCGCAUACGAUCUGAGGAUGAAAGCGGGGGACCUUCGGGCCUCGCGCGAUCGGAGCGGCCGAUGUCAGAUUAGGUAGUUGGUGGGGUAAAGGCCUACCAAGCCGACGAUCUGUAGCUGGUCUGAGAGGACGACCAGCCACACUGGGACUGAGACACGGCCCAGACUCCUACGGGAGGCAGCAGUGGGGAAUUUUGGACAAUGGGCGCAAGCCUGAUCCAGCCAUUCCGCGUGCAGGGCGAAGGCCUUCGGGUUGUAAACUGCUUUUGUACGGAACGAAAAGGCUCUGGCUAAUACCUGGGGCUCAUGACGGUACCGUAAGAAUAAGCACCGGCUAACUACGUG
rnacentral:rRNA from 1 species